UGUGGAUUCACUAUUCUCGCGUCAUCCAUAUAGAGCAAUGCUCAGUAUUUUACUGCAUCUUACUACAAUGAGGGUGACCUAGGGCUUGUAGGAUGUUUUAUCAGGUUCAACUUAUAAAACGCAAUGUAUGUCCAUGUACAUAUACAGAAUAGCCUAAACAAGACAACAUACGAACUAGCCCAAAUAACUUCAUCUUAUUUAAAUGCAACUAAGGCUCUAUUUUUUGUAUGGGUGCAAACGACUUUGAGUCCUUUCUACGAUAUGUGGAGUCAGAGUUAGUGAAUGGAGUAAAAUAUAGACUUCACCAUCUUUAGUAUAUCUUAAAAAGAGAGAUAUUUAUAUGGUGCGUAGAUAAGUUAAAGCCAAGGGGAAACUUCACCAAACUAGGUGUAACUUACUGGCUUAUAUGUUGAAUGUGUCAAUCAUACAAAAAUGUUAUUCUCUUACAACAAAUCAACGAAGAGCACUUGUAGCCCUGAUUUUUCAGCCAAACAAAUAGACAAUUGAUCAGCCCAUGUGAGCCCUAGCACCUACCAUAGUUUCUCGAGCAUCCCUCCCCCACGGCGUUGGAAUGGGUUCUUGACACCCCCUCGUGUGUGUUUUUUUAACCAGUUAUUGACCUAAGAUUUUCAGGGUUUUAUGGGCUGGAUAGUAGCAACAGCAAAAGAAAUAAUGUUUGACAUCAGACACGUUU
rnacentral:lncRNA from 1 species